GCCUGGAUCUUGGACUUCCCAGCCUCCGGAACCGUGAGAAAUAUAUUUCUAUUGUUUAUAAUUUACCCAGUCUGUAGUAUUCUUUCAUAACAACUCAAACGAACUAAUAUGCUAUGAAAUAUAAAUAAUAGAAAUGCAUUUCUCACAGUUCCGGAGGCUGGGAAGUCCAAGAUUAAGGC
rnacentral:miRNA from 1 species